CAUGCAAGUCGAGGGGCAGCAUCAUCAAAGCUUGCUUUGAUGGAUGGCGACCGGCGCACGGGUGAGUAACACGUAUCCAACCUGCCGACAACACUGGGAUAGCCUUUCGAAAGAAAGAUUAAUACCGGAUGGCAUAAUUAUUCCGCAUGGGAUAAUUAUUAAAGAAUUUCGGUUGUCGAUGGGGAUGCGUUCCAUUAGGCAGUUGGCGGGGUAACGGCCCACCAAACCUACGAUGGAUAGGGGUUCUGAGAGGAAGGUCCCCCACAUUGGAACUGAGACACGGUCCAAACUCCUACGGGAGGCAGCAGUGAGGAAUAUUGGUCAAUGGACGAGAGUCUGAACCAGCCAAGUAGCGUGAAGGAUGACUGCCCUAUGGGUUGUAAACUUCUUUUAUACGGGAAUAAAGUGAGCCACGUGUGGCUUUUUGUAUGUACCGUAUGAAUAAGGAUCGGCUAACUCCGUGCCAGCAGCCGCGGUAAUACGGAGGAUUCGAGCGUUAUCCGGAUUUAUUGGGUUUAAAGGGAGCGUAGGCGGGUUGUUAAGUCAGUUGUGAAAGUUUGCGGCUCAACCGUAAAAUUGCAGUUGAUACUGGCGACCUUGAGUGCAACAGAGGUAGGCGGAAUUCGUGGUGUAGCGGUGAAAUGCUUAGAUAUCACGAAGAACUCCGAUUGCGAAGGCAGCUUACUGGAUUGUAACUGACGCUGAUGCUCGAAAGUGUGGGUAUCAAACAGGAUUAGAUACCCUGGUAGUCCACACAGUAAACGAUGAAUACUCGCUGUUGGCGAUAUACAGUCAGCGGCCAAGCGAAAGCAUUAAGUAUUCCACCUGGGG
rnacentral:rRNA from 1 species